CCAGUUGUAACAACAACAAUAAUAAAAUACCUAGUGUAAUUCCACAAGUAGAGUCUGGCGAGGAAUGUACGCAGACUUUAUCCCUACCUAGUAGAGAUAGUGAUACUGUUGAUAAUAGACACUCAUCCCCCUUGCCCCCACUACCCAACUUAUGGGCCAAAUGGCCAUCACUUUCCCUAGGGAAUCGUUGCACCUCUAGGAUUAUUUCCUUGAG
rnacentral:lncRNA from 1 species